GAUGAACGCUGGCGGCGUGCUUAACACAUGCAAGUCGAACGGAAAGGCUCCUGCUUGCAGGGGUACUCGAGUGGCGAACGGGUGAGUAACACGUGGGUGAUCUGCCCUGCACUUCGGGAUAAGCCUGGGAAACUGGGUCUAAUACCGGAUAGGACCACAUUUUGGAUGGUGUGGUGGAAAGUUUUUCGGUGUGGGAUGAGCUCGCGGCCUAUCAGCUUGUUGGUGGGGUAAUGGCCUACCCAGGCGUCGACGGGUAGCCGGCCUGAGAGGGUGUACGGCCACAUUGGGACUGAGAGACGGGCCAGACUCCUACGGGAGGCAGCAGGGGGGAAUAUUGCACAAUGGGAGCAAGCCUGAUGCAGCGACGCCGCGUGGGGGAUGACGGCCUUCGGGUUGUAAACUCCUGUCGCUAGGGACGAAGCGUUUUUGUGACGGUACCUGGAGAAGAAGCACCGGCUAACUACGUG
rnacentral:rRNA from 1 species